rnacentral:tRNA from 1 species
GCUGUGGUGGUUCAGUGGUAGAAUUCUCGCCUUCCAUGCGGGAGACCUGGGUUUCAUUCCCAGCCAAUGCA